rnacentral:rRNA from 1 species
GACGAACGCUGGCGGCGUGCUUAACACAUGCAAGUCGAACGGAGUGGCGAACGGGUGAGUAACACGUGGGUGACCUGCCCUGCACUUCGGGAUAAGCCUGGGAAACUGGGUCUAAUACCGGAUAGUGUGGGAUGGGCCCGCGGCCUAUCAGCUUGUUGGUGGGGUAAUGGCCUACCAAGGCGGCUACGGGUAGCCGGCCUGAGAGUGUGGACGGCCAGAUUGGGACUGAGACACGGGCGAGACUCCUACGGGAGGCAGGAGUGGGGAAUAUUGCACAAUGGGCGGACGCCAGAUGCAGGGACGUCGCGUGGGGGAUGAUGGCCGUCGGGUUGGAAACUCAUUUCGCCAUCGACGCGGUAGAUGGAGAAGAAGCACCGGCUAACUACGUGCCAGCCGCCGCGGUAAUUC